ensembl:lncRNA
GUUCAAUGUCUAGAUAGGUUUAAAAUUGAUUUUACCAUUUUUAAAUGACAAUUCUAGAGAAAAACUACUGGAAUUUUCUCUCUUUUUUUCCUGAAGAAAUCUAUAUUGAAACUGAAUGUAUUUUGAGUACGUCUACUUUUGCUUGCACAAUCAACAUUUACAACGGAAAAAAAAAAUCAUGAUAAUAUGAAGAUUGUCCUUUAUUUUCUAGUAUCUGGGAUUAAGAUCAAUGGAUGAAAAUCAUAACUUCAGGGCAGUGCAACCAAAUGGCUCUGCAAAAUCAUUUUACUACGUAGUUCCUAGCGUUGAUUAUUUUUACCAGCUUGACAUAACAAAAAUCUUCCUGCACAAAUGCAAAAAAAAAAAAAGUAACAAAAAUAACAAAAAAUGACAUAAAGAAGUUUUGUGAAAGAUGAACUUACGACAAAUAAAUCCAACGCAAUAGCUCAGGUAUUUCUCUCAAAGUUGGGUUUGAAAAGACGUUACCUUCAGUAAGAUGUCUGGGAACCUCGGAGCACCAGAGAAGCCGCGGGUAGAGCCGCUCCUCGCCUCAGCUCACCGCUCCCGCCAUGCGGUGGCAGCCUCGGGCAGCUGCGGCCUUCAGCCAGAAAUAGAUAUCCCGCUCCUCCAAAUGCCGCUCUGCUGGCACUUUCCCAUUGCAGACAGCAAGGGACUCGCUUGUAAAGCUGCUCAGCAGAGUGCCCUUUCUCCGUACGUACUGGCAAUUCCCUUUAAAAGAAAGCUCUUUUCUGCUGUUGCUUCUCCUCAUUCCUUCCUCCCCCCAGCCAGAUGCCACAGCUCCUUGCCGCAGAUGCUGAGCCAUGCUGGAGCAGCCACGUGUAGCCAUCACGGCUCCACUGCUGGCUGCAGAGUGCCAGCUACCAGCUACAUGGAUGGGAAGGCUCCUGCCAGAAUCCAAGAUGAGCUGAGGGAAGAUGCAGGAUUAUUUCUGGGACAUGCUAAAGGAUGCCAUGUUCAAUGA